CGCGCCCACGAAGGGGAGUAGCUCCCGACCGCUGUCCACGACAGCGCGAAUCGUCAGGUCGUCAAUACGAAGCAAAACACUUCCGGCCUGCCGGACAACGCACGCGCAUUCGCGCGGACGCUGUCGAGCAAGACCUUCGAUUUGAAC
rnacentral:misc_RNA from 1 species